rnacentral:lncRNA from 10 species
GUUUCCUAGGUGUCCCCUGGGCUAGAGAAUGCUGCGUUUGCUACGCCGGGUCAGGACUUGGCAUAUGGCAUAAGACACACAGAGAGAGCCUUGCUGGUGUAGCUGAGAUUUACGACCCUCAUCCAACCAAACCAUUUCAGAUUCUUGGGGCUCAGAGCUCUCAUCGGAAAGACAUCUAUUCUGGGAGCAGAGUGGAGAGACCUGCUGCCCUUGAAGAAGCAAACAGCCAUGUUGUGAGCUGCCUAAGCCUCUAGGUCUUGAGGGAAGCUUACAGUUAAGAGCCAGCAAAAGCCAGGGCCCUCAGUCAUGCCACACAAGGAAACGAAUCCUGCCAGCAACUAUGGGGGCUUGGAAGAGGAUAUUAAGCUUCAGUUGAGAAUGCAGCCUGACUGACACCAUCAUUGCAGCCUUGUGAGACCCCAAUCAGAGGACCCAGCUGAGCUGUACCCAGACUCCUAACCCACGGAAACUGAGAAAAUAAAUGUGUGCUAUUUAUAGCUGCU